rnacentral:misc_RNA from 1 species
GAUGAAGAACGUAGCGAAAUGCGAUAAGUAGUGUGAAUUGCAGAAUUCAGUGAAUCAUCGAAUCUUUGAACGCACAUUGCGCCCCUUGGUAUUCCAUGGGGCAUGCCUGUUCGAGCGUCAUUUGUACCUUCAAGCUCUGCUUGGUGUUGGGUGUUUGUCUCGCCUCUGCGUGUAGACUCGCCUUAAAACAAUUGGCAGCCGGCGUAUUGAUUUCGGAGCGCAGUACAUCUCGCGCUUUGCACUCAUAACGACGACGUCCAAAAGUACAUUUUUACUCUCUUGACCUCGGAUCAGGUAGGGAUACCCGCUGAACUUAAGCAUAUCAAUAAGCGGAGGA